AUCCGGAGGGUGCAAGCGUUGUUCGGAAUCACUGGGCGUAAAGGGCGCGCAGGCGGUUUAUUAAGUCAGAUGUGAAAGCCCACGGCUUAACCGUGGAAGUGCAUUUGAAACUGUAAGACUUGAGUAUCAGAGGGGAAGGUGGAAUUCCCGGUGUAGAGGUGAAAUUCGUAGAUAUCGGGAGGAAUACCGGUGGCGAAGGCGACUUUCUGGCUGAAUACUGACGCUGAGGCGCGAAAGCGUGGGGAGCAAACAGGAUUAGAAACCCCAGUAGUCC
rnacentral:rRNA from 1 species